GGCCAUAUCGGUGAUCGUACGAGAACGCAUGUUCUCGAACGAUCACCGAAGUUAAGCAAUGUCGAACUUGAUUAGUACUUAGAUGGGUGACUGCUUGCGAAUACCAAGUGCAGUAAG